AAAACAAUGCAGAUAUGUGGCUUUCUAGCUGGACUGUUUCAUUCUCGUUUAAUAAGAAGGGCAUUGGUUGUAGCUCCCAAAACAUUAUUGCCCCAUUGGAUCAAAGAAUUGUCAGCUGUGGGUCUAUCCGAGAAGACAAGAGAAUAUUGUGGAACUUCUGCAAAA